rnacentral:misc_RNA from 1 species
GUUAUUUAAAGACUGAAUUAGACUUGUGUUAUGAUAUGGUGUGUACUUGUUAGCGGCCAGUUCGGCACAGUAUGCUGCAGAUUAAAUCUUUGAUGCAACCUUCAUAUACUUACAAUUUUUUUUCCCCGUUGUAAAAAUUGAACUUCCAUUUACCUGAUUGCUAGUAUCAACAGUCAUUUGUCUAAAUUUCAUGGUAAAGAACAUGUGCAACAGAUUUCCUAUGUGCUAA